GUAAAGCGACUAGAUUGACAGUCGAGCGAUGAUUAAAGAUAGCUUGCUAUUUUUAUGAAGAGCGGCGAACGGGUGAGUAACGCGUGGGAAAUCUGCCGAGUAGCGGGGGACAACGUUUGGAAACGAACGCUAAUACCGCAUAACAAUGAGAAUCGCAUGAUUCUUAUUUGAAAGAAGCAAUUGCUUCACUACUUGAUGAUCCCGCGUUGUAUUAGCUAGUUGGUAGUGUAAAGGACUACCAAGGCGAUGAUACAUAGCCGACCUGAGAGGGUGAUCGGCCACACUGGGACUGAGACACGGCCCAGACUCCUACGGGAGGCAGCAGUAGGGAAUCUUCGGCAAUGGGGGCAACCCUGACCGAGCAACGCCGCGUGAGUGAAGAAGGUUUUCGGAUCGUAAAACUCUGUUGUUAGAGAAGAACGUUAAGUAGAGUGGAAAAUUACUUAAGUGACGGUAUCUAACCAGAAAGGGACGGCUAACUACGUGCCAGCAGCCGCGGUAAUACGUAGGUCCCAAGCGUUGUCCGGAUUUAUUGGGCGUAAAGCGAGCGCAGGUGGUUUCUUAAGUCUGAUGUAAAAGGCAGUGGCUCAACCAUUGUGUGCAUUGGAAACUGGGAGACUUGAGUGCAGGAGAGGAGAGUGGAAUUCCAUGUGUAGCGGUGAAAUGCGUAGAUAUAUGGAGGAACACCGGAGGCGAAAGCGGCUCUCUGGCCUGUAACUGACACUGAGGCUCGAAAGCGUGAGGAGCACACAAGAUUACAUACCCUGGAAGUCCACGCCGGAAACGAGGAGUGCUAGCUGUAGGGAGCUUAAGUGCUCA
rnacentral:rRNA from 1 species